AUUGAACGCUGGCGGCAUGCCUUACACAUGCAAGUCGAACGGUAACAGGUCUUCGGAUGCUGACGAGUGGCGAACGGGUGAGUAAUACAUCGGAACGUGCCUAGUAGUGGGGGAUAACUACUCGAAAGAGUGGCUAAUACCGCAUGAGAUCUACGGAUGAAAGCAGGGGAUCGCAAGACCUUGUGCUACUAGAGCGGCCGAUGGCAGAUUAGGUAGUUGGUGGGAUAAAAGCUUACCAAGCCGACGAUCUGUAGCUGGUCUGAGAGGACGAUCAGCCACACUGGGACGGGGACACGGCCCAGACUCCGACGGGAGGCAGAAGUGGGGAAUUUUGGACAAUGGGCGCAAGCCUGAUCCAGCAAUGCCGCGUGCAGGAUGAAGGCCUUCGGGUUGUAAACUGCUUUUGUACGGAACGAAAAGCACUGGGUUAAUACCCUGGGGUAAUGACGGUACCGUAAGAAUAAGCACCGGCUAACUACGUGCCAGCAGCCGCCGUAACAC
rnacentral:rRNA from 1 species